AGUCGGGCGCUGCCAAUCCCGGUCGCCCGCCGGCUCAAGGGGGGCACGCGGGCACCCAGGGCACCCUUUCCGCAGCGUCCUCCCCUCCUCCCGGCGCCUCCCUGUCCCUAGGGCCUUCGGGUCCAGUGACCCGUAGUGCUGCCCGGAGUCCUCCCAGCGCCCCACCCUGACUUCCCUUCAUGCCCACCUCCCUCUCCUGUCCCCCCAGUCCAAGCAUGCGCCCGGGGCCCAGCUGGAAGAGCGCCGUGACAACCCCGGGCAUCGUACCUCACAGAGUCCCUUGGAAGAAAGCAGAGGAGAGACAUGGGUUGAAAGCAUUUGCUGUCUCCAGACCACGUGGUCAGAAGCUCUGAAACACAAAGAACAAAGAGGCGCUCUGGGUAGCUGCACAGAUUCUUCUCCAGCAGAUGAGAUGUGUUCAUCCUCCCCAAGGAUGCAGCUCUGC